rnacentral:rRNA from 1 species
AUUGAACGCUGGCGGCAGGCCUAACACAUGCAAGUCGAACGAGUGGCGGACGGGUGAGUAAUGUCUGGGAAACUGCCCGAUGGAGGGGGAUAACUACUGGAAACGGUAGCUAAUACCGCAUACCAUCGGAUGUGCCCAGAUGGGAUUAGCUUGUAGGGGAGGUAACGGCUAACCUAGGCGACGCUCCCUAGCUGGUCUGAGAGGAUGACCAGCGAAACUGGAAUUGAGACACGGUCCAGACUCCUACGGGAGGCAGCAGGGGGGAAUAUGGCACAAUGGGCGCAAGCCUGAUGCAGCUAUGCCGCGUGUAUGAAGAAGGCCUUCGGGUUGUAAAGUACUUGCAGCGGGGAGGCGUUACCCGCAGAAGAAGCACCGGCUAACUCCGUGCCAGCAGCCGCGGUAAUAC